AUUGAACGCUAGCGGCAGGCCUAACACAUGCAAGUCGAGGGGCAGCACAGGUAGCAAUACUGGGUGGCGACCGGCGCACGGGUGAGUAACGCGUAUGCAACCUGCCCGCCACAGGGGGAUAGCCCGCCGAAAGGCGGAUUAAUACCCCAUCGCCCCGUAGUCCGGCAUCGGACCACGGGUAAAGGAGCGAUCCGGUGGCGGAUGGGCAUGCGUGCCAUUAGCUAGUUGGCGGGGUAACGGCCCACCAAGGCGACGAUGGCUAGGGGGUCUGAGAGGAUGGUCGCCCACACUGGUACUGAGACACGGACCAGACUCCUACGGGAGGCAGCAGUGAGGAAUAUUGGUCAAUGGGCGGAAGCCUGAACCAGCCAUGCCGCGUGCAGGAAGACGGCCCUACGGGUUGUAAACUGCUUUUCCGGGGGAAGAAUAAGGCCGACGUGUCGGCCGAUGCCGGUACCCCGGGAAUAAGGAUCGGCUAACUCCGUGCCAGCCGCCGCAGUAAUAC
rnacentral:rRNA from 1 species